rnacentral:rRNA from 1 species
GAGUUUGAUCGUGGCUCAGAACGAACGCUGGCGGCGUGGAUAAGACAUGCAAGUCGAACGGGAGAAUUGCUAGCUUGCUAAUAAUUCUCUAGUGGCGCACGGGUGAGUAACACGUGAGUAACCUGCCCCCGAGAGCGGGAUAGCCCUGGGAAACUGGGAUUAAUACCGCAUAGUAUCGAAAGAUUAAAGCAGCAAUGCGCUUGGGGAUGGGCUCGCGGCCUAUUAGUUAGUUGGUGAGGUAACGGCUCACCAAGGCGAUGACGGGUAGCCGGUCUGAGAGGAUGUCCGGCCACACUGGAACUGAGACACGGUCCAGACACCUACGGGUGGCAGCAGUCGAGAAUCAUUCACAAUGGGGGAAACCCUGAUGGUGCGACGCCGCGUGGGGGAAUGAAGGUCUUCGGAUUGUAAACCCCUGUCAUGUGGGAGCAAAUUAAAAAGAUAGUACCACAAGAGGAAGAGACGGCUAACUCUGUGCCAGCCGCCGCCGUAAG